UACGGAGGGUGCGAGCGUUAUCCGGAUUCACUGGGUUUAAAGGGUGCGUAGGUGGGCUUGUAAGUCAGUGGUGAAAUCUCCGGGCUUAACCUGGAAACUGCCAUUGAUACUACAGGUUUUGAAUUUUCUGGAGGUAAGCGGAAUAUGUCAUGUAGCGGUGAAAUGCUUAGAUAUGACAUAGAACACCAAUUGCGAAGGCAGCUUGCUACAGGAAUAUUGACACUGAGGCACGAAAGCGUGGGGAUCAAACAGG
rnacentral:rRNA from 1 species